GGACGAACGCUGGCGGCGUGCCUAAUCCAUGCAAGUCGAGCGGACCGAACAGGAGCUUGCUCUUGUUCGGUUAGCGGCGGACGGGUGAGUAACACGUGGGUAACCUGCCCGUAAGACCGGGAUAACUCCGGGAAACCGGAGCUAAUACCGGAUAACACCGAAGACCGCAUGGUCUUUGGUUGAAAGGCGGCUUCGGCUGCCACUUACGGAUGGGCCCGCGGCGCAUUAGCUAGUUGGUGAGGUAACGGCUCACCAAGGCGACGAUGCGUAGCCGGCCUGAGAGGGUGACCGGCCACACUGGGACUGAGACACGGCCCAGACUCCUACGGGAGGCAGCAGUAGGGAAUCUUCCGCAAUGGACGAAAGUCUGACGGAGCGACGCCGCGUGAGCGAAGAAGGUCUUCGGAUCGUAAAGCUCUGUUGUUAGGGAAGAAGAAGCGUCGUUCGAACAGGGCGGCGCGGUGACGGUACCUAACGAGAAAGCCCCGGCUAACUACGUG
rnacentral:rRNA from 1 species